rnacentral:rRNA from 1 species
AGCGCCUACUAAUACGGAGAGAAAGANGGGAGAGUAAUCUGUGGGAACGAAGAAAAUUAGUUCGGAACAACCCAGGGAAACUUGGGCAUGAUACCGUGUUCCCUCCGAAAGGAGAAAGAUUUAUCGCUGAAGGAUCGGCCCGCGUCUGAUUAGCUAGUUGGUGGGGUAACGGCCCACCAAGGCUACGAUCAGUAGCUGGUCUGAGAGGAUGAUCAGCCUCACUGGGACUGAGACACGGCCCAGACUCCUACGGGAGGCAGCAGUGGG